CACUAUCGUUAAGUGAAUACAUAGCUUAACGAAGCGAACCGGGGGAACUGAAACAUCUAAGUACCCCGAGGAAAAGAAAUCAACCGAGAUUCCCCCAGUAGCGGCGAGCGAACGGGGAGCAGCCCAGAACCUGAAUCAGUUUGUGUGUUAGUGGAACGGUCUGGAAAGUCCGGCGGUACAGGGUGAUAGCCCCGUACACUAAAAUGCACAGGCUGUGAGUUCGAAGAGUAGGGCGGGACACGUGGUAUCCUGUCUGAAUAUGGGGGGACCAUCCUCCAAGGCUAAAUACUCCUGACUGACCGAUAGUGAACCAGUACCGUGAGGGAAAGGCGAAAAGAACCCCGGCGAGGGGAGUGAAACAGAACCUGAAACCGUGUACGUACAAGCAGUGGGAGCCUCUUUAUGGGGUGACUGCGUACCUUUUGUAUAAUGGGUCAGCGACUUAUAUUCUGUAGCAAGGUUAACCGUAUAGGGGAGCCGCAGGGAAACCGAGUCUUAACUGGGCGUUAAGUUGCAGGGUAUAGACCCGAAACCCGGUGAUCUAGCCAUGGGCAGGUUGAAGGUUGGGUAACACUAACUGGAGGACCGAACCGACUAAUGUUGAAAAAUUAGCGGAUGACCUGUGGCUGGGGGUGAAAGGCCAAUCAAACCGGGAGAUAGCUGGUUCUCCCCGAAAGCUAUUUAGGUAGCGCCUCGUGAACUCAUCUUCGGGGGUAGAGCACUGUUUCGGCUAGGGGGUCAUCCCGACUUACCAACCCGAUGCAAACUACGAAUACCGAAGAAUGUUAUCACGGGAGACACACGGCGGGUGCUAACGUCCGUCGUGAAGAGGGAAACAACCCAGACCGCCAGCUAAGGUCCCAAAGUCAUGGUUAAGUGGGAAACGAUGUGGGAAGGCCCAGACAGCCAGGAUGUUGGCUUAGAAGCAGCCAUCAUUUAAAGAAAGCGUAAUAGCUCACUGGUCGAGUCGGCCUGCGCGGAAGAUGUAACGGGGCUAAACCAUGCACCGAAGCUGCGGCAGCGA
rnacentral:rRNA from 1 species